AUGAAGUUGGAAUCGCUAGUAAUCGCGGAUCAGCAUGCCGCGGUGAAUACGUUCCCGGGCCUUGUACACACCGCCCGUCACACCAUGAGAGUCGGGAACACCCGAAGUCCGUAGCCUGACCGCGAAGGGGGCGCGGCCGAAGGUGGGUUCGAUAAUUGGGGUGAAGUCGUAACAAGGUAAC
rnacentral:rRNA from 1 species